rnacentral:rRNA from 1 species
CACGUAGGCGGAUCUUUAAGUCAGGGGUGAAAUCCUGGAGCUCAACUCCAGAACUGCCUUUGAUACUGGGGAUCUCGAGUCCGGGAGAGGUGAGUGGAACUCCGAGUGUAGAGGUGAAAUUCGUAGAUAUUCGGAAGAACACCAGUGGCGAAGGCGGCUCACUGGCCCGGUACUGACGCUGAGGUGCGAAAGCGUGGGGAGCAAACA